rnacentral:rRNA from 1 species
GCAUAUCAAUAAGCGGAGGAAAAGAAAAUAACAAUGAUUCCCCUAGUAACUGCGAGUGAAGAGGGACAAGCUCAAAUUUUAAAUCCGUCGGGUUACACCUGACCGAGUUGUAAUUUGAAGAGGCGUUUUCCGCGUUUUUGAUCAGUCCAAGUCCUUUGGGAUAGGGCAUCAUGGAGGGUGAGAAUCCCGUUCGGCUGAUCAGAUUCGCUUUACGAUACGUCAUCUAAGAGUCAAGUUGUUUGGGAAUGCAGCUUAAAAUGGGAGGUAAAUUUCUCCUAAGGCUAAAUAACGGCGAGAGACCGAUAGCGAACAAGUACCGUGAGGGAAAGAUGAAAAGAACUUUGAAAAGAGAGUUAAACAGUACGUGAAAUUGUUGAAAGGGAAACGAUUGAAGCCAGUCGUACCGGUGGGUAAUCAGCCUUUCGGCGUGAUUAUGUGGAGCGUGAGGAGUCAAACGCCCUCAUGGCCUGCAUAUUCGUGUUCUUUGGGUGUACUUACCCGCAUGGUAGGUUAACAUCAAUUUCGAACGUCAUAAAAUGGUUGGAGGAAUGUAGCUUCGAUCUCGUAUUGAAGUGUUAUAGCCUUCGGCAGAUGUGAUGAUCGGGAUUGAGGAUUGCAACGGAUACCCCUCGGGCUACCCGUCUGAUCUCUGAAAGCUACUCUGGUGCCGAAAGCUCGCUUACGGUCAUCAAAGUUGACGUUCAACAGGUUAGAACGGGAUAAAUUCGUUAAAGGAUGUUGACGUAAUGGCUUUAAACGAC